GCCCAUGGAUGUCUACAAAGAGUGAACUGAUCACUGUGGGCUGGCCUUUGAGGCAUCAGUGAGCUCCAGUGCCUGGGACAAUGCCUGACACUUAGCAGACAGUCAGUGAAUGUGUUAUAUAAAUGAAUGAAUACUUGGAGCGUGAGAAUCAGAGCGGCAAAAAUAUUUGUCCAUAAUAUGCCUAAAGAUAAAAACGGAAGCCUCAGAACUAGAUAAGUGCAUUGUAAUUGAAUGCUGAAUUCACAGAGAUAACAUCUGAGAUUUAUUAAGCAUCAAGUCAUGUCUUAAAAAUUUUAUAUACAUUUUAGGAUUUAACUCUUAUAAAAAUCCUGUGGGUAAGUACUGUUGUCUCUCCCACUUUACAGGUAGAGAGGCUGAGGUUCAGAGAGAUUAGGUAACUCAACUAAGGUCAAAAAGUUGGUCAGGGAGCUGGGCCUUUAUAUAAAACACCAAAAUGAGCCCUUGUGUAGAACCCUUGAGAGAGAUUUUAAUCUAAUGGCUGCAAUUUUAAAUUGUGUUCAGUUGUGGUAUGUAGUUUUUCAAGGAAGAUGACCCACAGCCUUUCUUGCUUUCUGGCUUUGGAAAAGGUAGAGAUGACCACUUAAACAUUCAAGGAAAAUAAUCCCUGACUUUGAAAUCAGAAGAUCAUUCAGAUAAUAUACUUACUUAUAAUCAUCCUCUCUAAUGUCUGACUAAAGCAAGAGUAAAAGAUUGACUGAACAGCAACAAAUACUUUAACAGUUAAAAAUAAA
rnacentral:lncRNA from 1 species